UACAGAGGUCCCAAGCGUUGUUCGGAUUCAUUGGGCGUAAAGGGUGCGUAGGCGGCGCGGUAAGUCGGGUGUGAAAUCUCGGAGCUUAACUCCGAAACUGCAUUCGAUACUGCCGUGCUUGAGGACUGGAGAGGAGACUGGAAUUUACGGUGUAGCGGUGAAAUGCGUUGAUAUCGAUAGGAACUCCGGUGGCGAAGGCGGGUUGCUGGGCUGAUACUGACGCUGAGGCGCGAAAGCCAGGGGAGCGAACGGG
rnacentral:rRNA from 1 species